CCUACGGGGGGCAGCAGUGGGGAAUAUUGGACAAUGGGCGAAAGCCUGAUCCAGCCAUGCCGCGUGUGUGAAGAAGGCCUUCGGGUUGUAAAGCACUUUCAGUGGGGAAGAAAGCCUUGGGGCUAAUACCCUCGAGGAAGGACAUCACCCACAGAAGAAGCACCGGCUAACUCCGUGCCAGCAGCCGCGGUAAUACGGAGGGUGCGAGCGUUAAUCGGAAUUACUGGGCGUAAAGCGCGCGUAGGCGGUCUGAUAAGCCGGUUGUGAAAGCCCCGGGCUCAACCUGGGAACGGCAUCCGGAACUGUCAGGCUAGAGUGCAGGAGAGGAAGGUAGAAUUCCCGGUGUAGCGGUGAAAUUCGUAGAGAUCGGGAGGAAUACCAGUGGCGAAGGCGGCCUUCUGGACUGACACUGACGCUGAGGUGCGAAAGCGUGGGUAGCAAACAGGAUUAGAUACCCUUGUAGUC
rnacentral:rRNA from 1 species